rnacentral:rRNA from 1 species
AGCAGCCGCGGUAAUUCCAGCUCCAAUAGCGUAUAUUAAAGUUGUUGCAGUUAAAAAGCUCGUAGUUGAACUUCGGGAUUUAUUCAUUGGUCAGGCUUAAUUGUCUGUACUGGUGAGAUAAGUCUCUACCUUCUGAGGAACUUUCAUGCCAUUUAUUUGGUGUGAUUGGAAAUCAGGACUGUUACUUUGAAAAAUUAGAGUGUUUAAAGCAGGCUAACGUCUGAAUACAUUAGCAUGGAAUAAUGAAAUAGGACGGACUGGUUCUAUUUUGUUGGUUUCUAGGAUCACCGUAAUGAUUAAUAGGGAUAGUUGGGGGCAUUAGUAUUCAAUUGUCAGAGGUGAAAUUCUUGGAUUUAUUGAAGACUAACUACUGCGAAAGCAUUUGCCAAGGAUGUUUUCAUUAAUCAAGAACGAAAGUUAGGGGAUCGAAGACGAUCAGAUACCGUCGUAGUCUUAACCAUAAACUAUGCCGACUAGGGAUCGGACGAAGUUAAUUUUAUAAUGACGCGUUCGGCACCUU